CUGAACCUCUGAUUGAUCACCUGAGGCGAGCCAUGAGUCAGCCAGAGGAGCACAGCUGAAGGCAAUUCACCUGUGCUGCCAGAAGGGGUGGAGCCUGGCUCCACCUCUCCUAGACCUAUUUAACAGCUGACUACCAGUAGGGAAGGAUCUUGUCUGGAGAUCCUCUCUUUUGGUGUUUUUUGUGGGUGAGCCUAGCAUACAGCCACAGUGUCCGUGUGUGGUUUGUCAAAGCAUUCUUUAAGAUGUGGUUGCCAGUCAGUCCCCACAAAUCCACUGUCUCAUCAAAGUGAUUGAUUGCUGUCAAGCUGGCUUGAGACAGGGUUCACAAUGAACUGCAUCUAUUUAUCAUGCUGAGACUCUGAAUGAUGGAAAGUUGACCUUCACAAAAGUGUAUAUAAAAGGAACCCCUACAUUAACACGUUUAAAAGCAACAUCCACUGAACUUGUGCUUUUGCUGUGAAACUGAUGAUGGGAAUGUUAAUAAAGUAAGGGUAAACUGGACCACUGGCACAAACUGAGAUAUGUGUGCUAUUGAGACAGGAUUUCUGCAAAAUGUUUUAUAGAAGACUUCUCCAUAAGGUCUGCGAGACAUCUCCAGCCACAGGGAGAUUGCUGCUGUUUGUAAUGCUACUUCAAGUCCUCACAAAAUUGUCUUCACGUCUAUUAACGUGAGCAGAAAACAGAAGAUAAGGAAGAGGGGAGUUUAUAUUCCAGCACUUGGUAUCAAGGGAGUUUAAAA